rnacentral:rRNA from 1 species
GCCUUAGUACGGAGAGUGAAGCGGCAAAAGCUCAAAUUUGAAAUCUGGUACCUUCGGUGCCCGAGUUGUAAUUUGGAGAGGGCAACUUUGGGGCCGUUCCUUGUCUAUGUUCCUUGGAACAGGACGUCAUAGAGGGUGAGAAUCCCGUGUGGCGAGGAGUGCGGUUCUUUGUAAAGUGCCUUCGAAGAGUCGAGUUGUUUGGGAAUGCAGCUCUAAGUGGGUGGUAAAUUCCAUCUAAAGCUAAAUAUUGGCGAGAGACCGAUAGCGGACAAGUACAGUGAUGGAAAGAUGAAAAGAACUUUGAAAAGAGAGUGAAAAAGUACGUGAAAUUGUUGAAAGGGAAGGGCAUUUGAUCAGACAUGGUGUUUUGUGCCCUCUGCUCCUUGUGGGUAGGGGAAUCUCGCAUUUCACUGGGCCAGCAUCAGUUUUGGUGGCAGGAUAAAUCCAUAGGAAUGUAGCUUGCCUCGGUAAGUAUUAUAGCCUGUGGGAAUACUGCCAGCUGGGACUAAGGACUGCGAC